rnacentral:rRNA from 1 species
CAAUAGCGUAUAUUAAAGUUGUUGCGGUUAAAAAGCUCGUAGUUGGAGUUCUGCCAGGUGACACUCGUCCGCCCAAGUGGUGUGUACAGGGUGUGCAUCUGGCCCUUUCAAGGGGAACGUGUCUGCACUUCAUUGUGUGGUGCGAGAUCCUUGACUUUUACUUUGAGGAAAUAAGAGUGUUCCAAGCAGGCUCUCGUCGUGCAUAGCUCAGCAUGGAAUAAUAGCAUUGGACUUCGUUUCUACGCUGUUGGUUGCAAGAAGCGAGGUAAUGAUGAAGAGGGAUAGUUGGGGGCAUUCGUAUUUAACUGUCAGAGGUGAGAUUCUUGGAUUUGUUAAAGACGGACUACUGCGAAAGCAUCUGCCAUGGAUGUUUUCAUUGA